GAUAACUGGCUUGUGGCAGCCAAGAAUGCAUAGCAAUGUCACUUUUUGAUCCUUCAAUGUCAGUUCUUCCGAUCAUUAUGAAGCAGAAUUCACCAAGCCUUUAAUUGUUUACCUAGUAAUAGGGAACAAGAGCUGGGUUUAUAUUGUCGCAAGACAGGUU
rnacentral:ncRNA from 1 species